GUCCACGCAGUAAACGAUGAGUGCUAGAUAUCAGAAUUUAUUUUGGUGUCGUAGCUAACGCAAUAAGCACUCUGCCUGGGAAGUACGGUCGCAAGAUUAAAACUCAAACGGAAUUGACGGGGACCCGCACAAGCGGUGGAACACGUGGUUUAAUUCGAUGCUACGCGAAAACCUUACCAGGUCUUGACAUAAUAGCUAAUACUUAGAGCGAUCUAAGAGUCAGUUCGGCUGGGCUAUUACAGGUGUUGCAUGGCUGUCGU
rnacentral:rRNA from 1 species